rnacentral:rRNA from 1 species
UGGGGAAUAUUGGACAAUGGGCGAAAGCCUGAUCCAGCAAUGCCGCGUGUGUGAAGAAGGUCUUCGGAUUGUAAAGCACUUUCGGCGGGGACGAUGAUGACGGUACCCGCAGAAGAAGCCCCGGCUAACUUCGUGCCAGCAGCCGCGGUAAUACGAAGGGGGCUAGCGUUGCUCGGAAUGACUGGGCGUAAAGGGCGCGUAGGCGGUUCUGCAAGUUAGAUGUGAAAUUCCUGGGCUCAACCUGGGGACUGCAUUUGAUACGUGAUGGCUAGAGUGGAGAAGAGGGUCGUGGAAUUUCCAGUGUAGAGGUGAAAUUCGUAGAUAUUGGAAAGAACACCGGUGGCGAAGGCGGCGACCUGGUCUUUAACUGACGCUGAGGCGCGAAAGCGUGGGGAGCAAAC